UACAGAGGUCCCAAGCGUUGUUCGGAUUCACUGGGCGUAAAGGGUGCGUAGGCGGUUGGGUAAGUCUGAUGUGAAAUCUCACAGCUUAACUGUGAAACUGCAUUGGAUACUAUCCAACUCGAGGAAUGGAGGGGAGACUGGAAUACUUGGUGUAGCAGUGAAAUGCGUAGAUAUCAAGAGGAACACCGGUGGCGAAGGCGGGUCUCUGGGCCGAUACUGACGCUGAGGAGCGAAAGCGUGGGGAGCGAACAGG
rnacentral:rRNA from 1 species